GGGAUUGUGGCUCAGUGGUAGAGCACUUGCCUAGCAUGCAUGAGGAACUGGGUUCAAUUCUUAGCACCA
rnacentral:tRNA from 1 species